GAAAGUAAAGAAGGGCGCAUGGCGGAUGCCUUGGCUCUCGGAGGCGAUGAAGGACGUGAUAAGCUGCGAUAAGCUUUGGGGAGGUGCAAAUGACCUUUGAUCCAGAGAUUUCCGAAUGGGACAACCCAAUAUCUUGAAGAGGUAUUAUCCAACGUUGUUGGAGGCUAACGCAGGGAACUGAAACAUCUUAGUACCUGCAGGAAAAGAAAAUAAACAAUGAUUCCCCCAGUAGUGGCGAGCGAACGGGGAACAGCCCAAACCAUCCAUGUUACGGCAUGGGUGGGGUUGUAGGACUACGCCGUUGCAUGAAGACAUCAGAGAAGAACUUUCUGGAAAGAAAGACCAUAGAGCAUGACAGUUGCGUAUUCGAAUGUUGUCGAAGCAUAGUAGUAUCCUGAGUAGCGCGGAGCACGAGGAAUUCUGCGUGAAUCUGCCGGGACCAUCCGGUAAGGCUAAAUACUCCCGAGAGACCGAUAGCGAACCAGUACCGUGAGGGAAAGGUGAAAAGCACUUCGAACAGAAGAGUGAAAUAGUUCCUGAAACCGUGCGCCUACAAGCGGUCGGAGCUCGUUAAUGAGUGACGGCGUGCCUUUUGCAUAAUGAACCUACGAGUUGCCUUUGCCGGCAAGGUUAAGUGUGACGACACACGUAUCCGAAGCGAAAGCGAGUCUGAACAGGGCGUAUAGUCGGCAGUGGCAGACGCGAAACCAAGUGAUCUACCCUUGGCCAGGUUGAAGGCUGGGUAACACCAGCUGGAGGACCGCACCAAUAAGCGUUGAAAAGCUUCUGGAUGAGCUGAGGGUAGGGGUGAAAGGCUAAUCAAACUUGGAGAUAGCUCGUACUCCCCGAAAUGCAUUUAGGUGCAGCCUUGCGGGUUACUGAUGUGAGGUAGAGCGACUGAUAAGAUGCGAGGGCUUCACCGCCUAUCAAGUCUUGACAAACUCCGAAUGCGCAUCAGUUCUACCGCAGGAGUGAGGGCAUGGGUGCUAAGGUCCGUGCCCGAGAGGAGAAGAAUCCGGACCACCUGCUAAGGUCCCGAAAUGACAGCUAAGUUAAACUAACGAAGUCUGACUGCUAAGACAGCUAGGAUGUUGGCUUGGAAGCAGCCAUUCAUUUAAAGAGUGCGUAACAGCUCACUAGUCGAGGAGUCGGGCGUGGAUAAUAAUCGGGUAUUAAGUUGUCUACCGAAGCAGUGGGAUCAUUGAUAUGAUCGGUAGGGGAGCAUUCCAGUCAGCGUCGAAGGCGUACCGUGAGGUAUUCUGGAGCGUCUGGAAAAGCAAAUGUAGGUAUAAGUAACGAUAAAGGGGGCGGGAAACCCCCUCGCCGAAAGACUAAGGUUUCCUGAUCAACGCUAAUCGGAUCAGGGUCAGUCGGGUCCUAAGGCUCAGCCGAACGGCGAUGCCGAUGGCAGAAACGGUUAAUAUUCCGUUACUACCUUCAGGAGUGACGUGGAGACGCAGUAGUGACAGUGCCGCCAUCUGACGGAAUAGAUGGUUGAAGGGUGUAGGAGUCGAUCAUGGCAGGCAAAUCCACCAUGAGAUCCGAACCUGACAGUAUGCCGCGUCCUUCGGGACAAGGCAAUAGUGCGCGUAAGCAUGCUGCCGAGAAAAUCCGCUAAACUUAAUCCUGCAGGUACCCGUACCGCAAACGGACACACGUAGUCGGGAUGAAUAUUCUAAGGCGCUUGAGUGAUUCACGGUUAAGGAACUAGGCAAACUGACCCUGUAACUUCGGGAUAAAGGGUCCCUACCCUUUUAUGGGAGGGCGCAGAGAAUCGGUCCAGGCAACUGUUUAACAAAAACACAGGGCUGUGCCAAAUCGAAAGAUCCAGUAUACAGCCUGACACCUGCCCGGUGCUGGAAGGUUAAGAGGAGAUGUCAUCGAUAAGAGAAGCGUUGAAUUGAAGCCCCAGUAAACGGCGGCCGUAACUAUAACGGUCCUAAGGUAGCGAAAUUCCUUGUCGGGUAAGUUCCGACCUGCACGAAUGGUGUAAUGAUCUGGACGCUGUCUCAACCGUGAGCUCAGUGAAAUUGUAGUAUCGGUGAAGAUGCCGAUUACCCGCGAUGGGACGAAAAGACCCCGUGAACCUUUACUAUAGCUUAUCAUUGAAUCUGGGCACGUGAUGUGUAGGAUAGGUCGGAGGCUUUGAAGCAGGUACGCCAGUAUUUGUGGAGCCGCUGUUGAAAUACGACCCUUUAUUUGUUUGGAUUCUAACCCGUGGAACGGGGACAUUGAUUGGUGGGUAGUUUGACUGGGGUGGUCGCCUCCAAAAGCGUAACGGAGGCUUCUAAAGGUGCCCUCCGGCCGAUUGGUAACCGGCCUUAGAGUGUAAUGGCAUAAGGGCGCUUGACUGGGAGACUGACAAGUCGAUCAGGUAGGAAACUAGAGCAUAGUGAUCCGGUGUUUCCGUAUGGAAGGGACAUCGCUCAAAGGAUAAAAGGUACUCCGGGGAUAACAGGCUGAUC
rnacentral:rRNA from 1 species